rnacentral:rRNA from 1 species
UACAGAGGGUGCAAGCGUUAAUCGGAAUUACUGGGCGUAAAGCGUGCGCAGGCGGUGAUGUAAGACAGUUGUGAAAUCCCCGGGCUCAACCUGGGAACUGCAUCUGUGACUGCAUCGCUGGAGUACGGUAGAGGGGGAUGGAAUUCCGCGUGUAGCAGUGAAAUGCGUAGAGAUGCGGAGGAACACCGAUGGCGAAGGCAGCCCCCUGGGCUGACACUGACGCUCAGGCACGAAAGCGUGGGGAGCAAACAGG